UGUGUCUUCCUAUGAACUUUUUUUUUUCUGCUGCCAACUCCACGUAUCAUCCUCUGUUUAUCUCUUUCUCUUUUCUCUUUUUUUUCGGAAACUGAAAUUUCCCCAGAAUGUUGAAGCCACCCGCUUUUUGCAAUACAAUAUGUGAGGAACGAGAUUCGUGAAGCCAUCAAAGGUUACAAAGGAUAUACAUACUGAUCGUGGUGUCUGUGGCUCAGUGGUAUUUCACGUUCAAUCGCUUACAAUUGGUCUCGGCCCAACAUGAAAAUCGGUGUUAGGAUCAUUCACGCAAGUUCCUAUUAUCGGAACGUUCCUGUUUCUCGCAAAGGAACAUUACAUCAAACAUAUAGUGAAGGAAGGAGCUUUGAGUGAGAUUCCUCAAUUCAAAGAACACUUUGGCUCCUUAAUAGAAGUGACCACUCCAUCAAUUGUAUCUGCAUGUUAUAAAUUUUGUAAUUUAUUUGUCUUUUUGAAAUAUUAUUGGUAGGUUAUUGUUUUUUCCUUCUUAUUUUUAUCAUAAAUUUAAUUAAUCAUUUACCUGUGUCUUCAUGUUCUUC